CCCUUGUCUUUUGCGUACUAUUUGUUUCCUUGGUAGGCUUUGCCUGCCAAUAGGACACUAUUAAACCUUUUGUAAUUGCAAUCAGCGUCAGAAAAACAUAAUAAUUACAACUUUCAACAACGGAUCUCUUGGUUCUGGCAUCGAUGAAGAACGCAGCGAAAUGCGAAAAGUAGUGUGAAUUGCAGAAUUCAGUGAAUCAUCGAAUCUUUGAACGCACAUUGCGCCCCUUGGUAUUCCAUGGGGCAUGCCUGUUCGAGCGUCAUUUGUACCUUCAAGCUCUGCUUGGUGUUGGGUGUUUGUCCCGCUUUUUGCGUGGACUCGCCUCAAAGCAAUUGGCAGCCGGCGUACUAGCCUGGGAGCGCAGCACAUUUUGCGCAUCUCGACUGGAGCGCUUGCGUCCAUUAAGCCUACACUUUUGCUCUUGACCUCGGAUCAGGUAGGGAUACCCGCUGAACUUAAGCAUAUCAAUAAGCGGAGGAAAAGAAACCAACAGGGAUUGCCCUAGUAACGGCGAGUGAAGCGGCAUCAGCUCAAAUUUGAAAUCUGGCUCUUUCAGGGUCCGAGUUGUAAUUUGCAGAGGGCGCUUUGGCGUUG
rnacentral:sRNA from 1 species